AAGCUAAAGGGCCUUAGACGCCGAGGGAAGAUUAUUAGCGCUGGUCACCUGUAGCAUGUAACGCUAGCGCUAGAAGCUAACUUUUAAAGUUUCACGUCGCGUUUUUUGGAGGAUUCACGUUGGUCUCGUUACAUUUUUGUUGUGGAGCUUAAUAAAUCAGCAGUUGGUCAAACUUUCAACCGAAGUCGCUCUUUGCUAAGACGUCAGGAACCACAGCUAACUCACUUCACCGAGUGGCGACUAUGGCCCGGUUGCUUCCAGGGCUGAGUUGGAGGGACAGAGAGAGCCCAGAUACCAACUGCACCCCGAGCUCUGUCACGCUCACUCUAUCGUCCACCACCCUGAUGCUCCUCUCAGCCAUGACCGACGACGUCAGAGGGGACAGCACCUGUGAGACGCAAGAACUCCGCUCAUUGCUUGCUACGCAUGGCUCUUUGGAAUCUGUAAUCCCCAUCGGUGCGUCAUGAAAACAUUCCCAAGUCAAUGCCAGCUCUCAGUGGAAACAAUUAAUUGUGUUACUUAUCGGGAAGUGGUGGCGGCACGAAGAUAAGGACACGAC